CACAGUUUAGCAGCUUGUCUUAUGCUUUUAUGGUGAAUUUAACAAGCAUUUAGUAUCUUUAAAGCAUAAAACGUUGAUUCUAGAACAGGAAUGAUGUUGGGUUUUUUUUAUCAUAUUUCUUCCAAAUUUGAUCCUGCAAAUACAGUGGAUUUGCCAUACCAAACGGACCUUAGCUGUAUCAUCUUUAAUGUUGUACUUCAUAUAUCUCCACAUCUUUCAAAAUGGUGAUUGCUAUUCUAAUACGACCUCCCGAAAUUUUCCUGAAUUGUAGCGUUGUGUUUCCUUAAGUGCAAUUCAUUAAAACACUUUGUUUUAUCAAAUACGUGUAAGGAUUUUUCAUGUCACCAAAAAAAUAUGUCCCUUCUACCCGUUUCUAUAUGGUUAUACCAUAAUAAAAUCCUAUAAAUCAUAAUCUUUGAAACUAAUACCAGCUAUUUAACUUCUCAGUACUAUCAUCUAAGCCGGAA
rnacentral:lncRNA from 1 species